CAGUCGCCGCGGUAAUACAGAGGGUGCGAGCGUUAAUCGGAUUUACUGGGCGUAAAGCGUGCGCAGGCGGUUUGUUAAGACAGAUGUGAAAUCCCCGGGCUCAACCUGGGAACUGCAUUUGUGACUGGCAAGCUAGAGUCUGGCAGAGGGGGGUGGAAUUCCGCGUGUAGCAGUGAAAUGCGUAGAUAUGCGGAGGAACACCGAUGGCGAAGGCAGCCCCCUGGGCCAACACUGACGCUCAUGCACGAAAGCGUGGGGAGCAAACAGGAUUAGAUACCCCUGUAGUCCCUGUCUCUUAUAC
rnacentral:rRNA from 1 species